UACGUAGGGUGCAAGCGUUGUCCGGAAUUAUUGGGCGUAAAGAGCUCGUAGGCGGUUUGUUGCGUCGGCUGUGAAAUCCCGAGGCUCAACCUCGGGUCUGCAGUCGAUACGAGCAAACUAGAGUGUUGCAGGGGAGACUGGAAUUCCUGGUGUAGCGGUGAAAUGCGCAGAUAUCAGGAGGAACACCGGUGGCGAAGGCGCUGCUCUGGGCCGAAACUGACGCUGAGGAGCGAAAGCGUGGGUAGCAAACAGG
rnacentral:rRNA from 1 species